GGAGAGGAAUCCGGUCCGGUGGCCGGCCUGGUCUUCAAAACCAGUCGAGACGGCGCCCACGCUGUCUGGUGGGUUCGACUCCCACUCCCCUCCGCCA
rnacentral:tRNA from 1 species